AUUGAACGCUGGCGGCAGGCUUAACACAUGCAAGUCGAACGAGUGGCGGACGGGUUAGUAAUGCUUGGGAAUCUAGCUUAUGGAUGGGGAUAACUACGGGAAACUGUAGCUAAUACCGCGUACCAUAGGCGGAGCCCAAGUGGGUUUAGGUAGUUGGUGGGGUACAGUCUCACCAAGGCGACGACCGCUAGCUGGUCUGAGAGGAUGACCAGCCACACGGGGACUGAGACACGGCCCAGACUCCUACGGGAGGCAGCAGUGGGGAAUAUGGCGCAAUGGGGGAAACCUGACCCAGCCAUGCCGCGUGAAUGAAGAAGGCCUUCGGGUUGUAAAGUUCUUUCGGUAGCGAGGCGGUAACUACAGAAGAAGCACCGGCUAACUCCGUGCCAGCAGCCGCGGUAAUAC
rnacentral:rRNA from 1 species